CAGCAGUCGCCGCGGUAAUACGUAGGUGGCAAGCGUUGUCUGGAAUUACUGGGCGUAAAGCGUGCGUAGGCGGUGAGUUAAGUCUGCUGUGAAAUCCCCGGGCUCAACCUGGGAAUGGCAGUGGAUACUGGCUCGCUAGAGUGUGUCAGAGGAUGGUGGAAUUCCCGGUGUAGCGGUGAAAUGCGUAGAGAUCGGGAGGAACAUCAGUGGCGAAGGCGGCCAUCUGGGACAACACUGACGCUGAGGCACGAAAGCGUGGGGAGCAAACAGGAUUAGAUACCCCAGUAGUCCCUGUCUCUUAUAC
rnacentral:rRNA from 1 species